UUGGACAAUGGGCGCAAGCCUGAUCCAGCCAUGCCGCGUGUGUGAUGAAGGCCUUAGGGUUGUAAAGCUCUUUCGCCGGUGAAGAUAAUGACGGUAACCGGAGAAGAAGCCCCGGCUAACUUCGUGCCAGCAGCCGCGGUAAUACGAAGGGGGCAAGCGUUGCUCGGAAUCACUGGGCGUAAAGCGUACGUAGGCGGGUCGUUAAGUCAGGGGUGAAAUCCUGGAGCUCAACUCCAGAACUGCCCUUGAUACUGGCGAUCUUGAGUUCGAGAGAGGUUGGUGGAACUGCGAGUGUAGAGGUGAAAUUCGUAGAUAUUCGCAAGAACACCAGUGGCGAAGGCGGCCAACUGGCUCGAUACUGACGCUGAGGUACGAAAGCGUGGGGAGCAAACAGGAUUAGAUACCCUGGUAGUCCACGCCGUAAACGAUGGAUGCUAGCCGUUAGGCAGCUUGCUGCUUAGUGGCGCAGCUAACGCAUUAAGCWUCCCGCCUGGGGAGUACGG
rnacentral:rRNA from 1 species